GCAUAUUCGUGAAAACUAAUGCAAUCAUCCUAUUGCAUAAUCAUGAUGCAUGAAACAUGAUAAAGCAUUUAAUUUAAAAGAUUAAGUUUUAGUUCCACUCACCUCUGGCUGACUCUGACAAUACCGAAGCAGCUGAACUCACUGCUGGGGUCCUCGGUUCCUCGGGUCCGAACCUACACAGGUGGACUCAAAUGAGGGACCAAACAUACGUAAUUACAACUCUAAUAUACUCCCCAAAAA
rnacentral:lncRNA from 1 species